GAUGAACGCUAGCGAUAGGCUUAACACAUGCAAGUCGAGGGGCAGCAUGGUCUUAGUUUGCUAAGACUGAUGGCGACCGGCGCACGGGUGCGUAACGCGUAUGCAACUUGCCUCACAGAGGGGGAUAACCCGUCGAAAGACGGACUAAUACCGCGUACACUUGGGAUAGGGCAUCCUGACCCAAGGAAAUGAAAUUCGCUGUGAGAUAGGCAUGCGUCCCAUUAGCUAGUUGGUGAGGUAACGGCUCACCAAGGCGACGAUGGGUAGGGGAACUGAGAGGUUGAACCCCCACACUGGUACUGAGACACGGACCAGACUCCUACGGGAGGCAGCAGUGAGGAAUAUUGGUCAAUGGGCGAGAGCCUGAACCAGCCAAGUCGCGCGAAGGAUGACUGUCUUAUGGAUUGUAAACUUCUUUUAUACGGGAAUAACAAGAGCCACGUGUGGCUCCCUGCAUGUACCGUAUGAAUAAGCAUCGGCUAACUCCGUG
rnacentral:rRNA from 1 species